UACGUAGGUGACAAGCGUUAUCCGGAUUUAUUGGGCGUAAAGCGCGCGUAGGCGGGUUGGUAAGUCCGCUGUGAAAGCCCGGAGCUCAACUCCGGAGGGUCGGUGGAUACUGCCAGUCUUGAAGGUGCUAGGGGGAGAUGGAAUUACCGGUGUAGCGGUGAAAUGCGUAGAUAUCGGUAGGAACACCAGUGGCGAAGGCGGUCUCCUGGGGCAUUCUUGACGCUGAGGCGCGAAAGCUGGGGGAGCGAACGGG
rnacentral:rRNA from 1 species